rnacentral:lncRNA from 1 species
CUGUUUUCUCCAGAUAUUAUAGCAAGACUGAUGGGAGUAUUUAUGUCUCUUAUUCCAUCCCCAGAGGGUCUGCUUCUAAAAAGUGGUGCUUCCACGACAGACACUGAAGGAACUAGAGUGUGUCUAGGUCUCAGUUGGACUUAUGGGCUUGAUCCUCAAGUGUGUCGAGAUGAACUGGGCAGGAAACAGUUUUUUUAUCCCAGGAAAAUUGAUGGAGAGGUGGCAUAGCUCUGAAGUUGGGGAACGCUUGGAUCCACAAAGGGUCACCAUCCAUCUUGUAUUUCAUGGGACAUCAUUUUUUUGGUUUCUAUUAUCCCGUGCCCAAUAAGGAGCUACUGAGAAGGAUUUAAUCAGAUAAAAAGUAAGGGCUAAAUCCUCAGCUGAUGUAAAUCGCUCUAGUUCCAUUGAAAUCAAUGGAGUUCUGCUGACUUACACCAGCUGAGGAUUUGGCUCUAUGUUUUCAACCAAUAAUUGUGUAAAAGAUGACACUUUGAGUUAUGAUAUGCAGUGUGAGGCCCUGUCCUUUAGAAUAAACUUUGUCCUGUGGUCUUCCCUCA